rnacentral:misc_RNA from 1 species
UGUGGCCCUGACUCUUGGCAGA